GGUGGCUCAGUGGUAGAGCACUUGCCUUGCGUGCAUGAGGUCCUGGGUUCAAUUCCUCAGCACCA
rnacentral:tRNA from 1 species